rnacentral:rRNA from 1 species
UACGGAGGGUGCAAACGUUGUUCGGAUUUACUGGGCGUAAAGCGCGUGUAGGCGGCUUUGCAAGUCGGAUGUGAAAGCCCACGGCUCAACCGUGGAAGUGCAUCCGAAACUGCAUGGCUGGAGUCUCGGAGAGGAAGGUGGAAUGCUUGGUGUAGAGGUGAAAUUCGUAGAUAUCAAGCAGAACACCUGCGGCGAAGGCGGCCUUCUGGACGAUGACUGACGCUGAGACGCGAAAGCGUGGGGAGCAAACAGG